rnacentral:misc_RNA from 1 species
AUUUAGCUGGUUGCAAAAACUCUUCAGAUAUUUGAGCAGUGCCAUGGAAUAUGUUGGGAUAGCACAAAGAACUGCUUUGAUAAUAGUUUCUCUGCCCCGCCUUGGAUAAUAAUGUUUGCUUCCAAGAUUGAGUCUUUGCCAUGAUUCUCUCUUUAACGAAGUUCAGAGCCUGAGCUUUUGACCUCCUCCAUAGGGACGGGAGGCCUAAAUACUUUUCUUCAGAU